rnacentral:misc_RNA from 1 species
CCGAGUUUACAACUCCCAAAACCCCCUGUGAACAUACCUACGUUGCUUCGGCGGUCCGUCCCGGCGCCUCCCUCGCGGGGGGCCCGGAACACAGGCGCCCGCCGGAGGACCCCAAACUCUUGUUUCUCAAACCAGUAUCUUCUGAGUGAAUAAGCAAAUAAAUUA